rnacentral:lncRNA from 1 species
UUUUACUCUUAAUAAAUAUUAAAUAAAAGCCCACUUUUUCUCUUUAAGGACCUCACUUUAAAGUGACACAUAAAUUUGCUAAUGUAUAUCUCUAUACAUAUAUAUUAUUUUUCAUAAAAUUUGUCACACACUUCCCAUUCCCUUAUUCUUUACCUUCCCAUCACCCAUCUCUGCAUGAGAUUUUUUCUUUCUACCCGCCCUUAUUCUUUACUUUCCCAUCACCCAUCUCCGCAUGAGGCUUUUUCUUUCUACCCGCCCACUUUUCAACUAAUGCGCUCGCAUGAUCUAUUGUUAUUUAAACAAAUCCUUUUAACAAGAAAAAAUAAAUAAAAUAAGAUAUCUUCAGACUCUUUUUUUUUAUACUAUUUGUAUUUAUUGAUAUCUCAUGGUAAGGCAACAAAUUUUAAAAUUUUUACUUUAUCAAUUUUCUGUCUUUAGUAUUACUCCAUCGCAAUGCGAGAAUAACUUCACUAGCAUAUCAUUACUAUA